rnacentral:rRNA from 1 species
CCUACGGGUGGCAGCAGUGAGGAAUAUUGGUCAAUGGGCGCGAGCCUGAACCAGCCAAGUCGCGUGAGGGAAGACGGUCCUAUGGAUUGUAAACCUCUUUUGUCGGGGAGCAAAAGACGCCACGCGUGGCGUUCCGAGAGUACCCGAAGAAAAAGCAUCGGCUAACUCCGUGCCCGCAGCCGCGGUACUACGGAGGAUGCGAGCGUUAUCCGGAUUUAUUUGGUUUAAAGGGUGCGCAGGCGGAAGAUCAAGGCAGCGGUAAAAUUGAGAGGCUCAACCUCUUCGAGCCGUUGAAACGGGUUUUCUUGAGUGAGUGAGAAGGAUGCGGAAGGCGUGGGGUAGCGGUGAAAUGCAUAGAGAUCACGCAGAACUCCGAGUGCGAAGGCAGCAUACCGGCGCUCAACUGACGCUCAUGCACGAAAGUGUGGGUAUCGAACAGGAUUAGAUACCCGUGUAGUC